AACGCUAGCUACAGGCUUAACACAUGCAAGUCGAGGGGCAGCACGGGAGUAGCAAUACAACUGGUGGCGACCGGCGCACGGGUGAGUAACGCGUAUGCAACCUACCUAUCAGAGGGGAAUAACCCGGCGAAAGUCGGACUAAUACCGCAUAAAACAGGGGCACCGCAUGGUGAUAUUUGUUAAAGAAAUUCGCUGAUAGAUGGGCAUGCGUUCCAUUAGGUAGUUGGUGAGGUAACGGCUCACCAAGCCGACGAUGGAUAGGGGAACUGAGAGGUUGGUCCCCCACACUGGUACUGAGACACGGACCAGACUCCUACGGGAGGCAGCAGUGAGGAAUAUUGGUCAAUGGGCGAGAGCCUGAACCAGCCAAGUCGCGUGAAGGAAGAAGGAUCUAUGGUUCGUAAACUUCUUUUGCAGGGGAAUAAAGUGCAGGACGUGUCCUGUUUUGUAUGUACCCUGAGAAUAAGGAUCGGCUAACUCCGUGCCAGCAGCCGCGGUAAUACGGAGGAUCCGAGCGUUAUCCGGAUUUAUUGGGUUUAAAGGGUGCGUAGGUGGUUUGAUAAGUCAGCGGUGAAAGUUUGCAGCUUAACUGUAAAAAUGCCGUUGAAACUGUCGGACUUGAGUGUAAAUGAGGUAGGCGGAAUGCGUGGUGUAGCGGUGAAAUGCAUAGAUAUCACGAAGAACUCCGAUUG
rnacentral:rRNA from 1 species